UGCCCCCUAGGGCACAUCCAAGUUGGCGGAACAAUCACAUUGGGGGGCUCUGGAACCAAGUGUGGGGGAGUUCGAUUCCUGGUUGGAGCAGCCAAGUGAUGUAAUAACCAGAGAAAGGGUUGGAGCAGCUUGGUGAUGUAAUAACCAUGGAGGAGGGUCCCUUUGGGGAAGGAGUAAAAGUCAUGUGGGAACCUGAGAACCAACAAGGGUACAACCUGCGAUUUACCUCCACUAGUCACUGAGGGGCCGGGGGCUAGAGGUCCA
rnacentral:lncRNA from 1 species